GCCUAUAUUAAUUGGGGCAAAAAACAUUUUUUUUUUCUUUUUUAUAUUUGUUCAUUGGAAUUAAAAUAGCAUAUAUUUAAAAGUUGAAGUCAAAUAAAUUGCCCUAACGUGGUUUUCAAAGAUAGUUUGAUUAUAUAAUAAUUAAACCGUGGCAUGAACACUCUGCAUCGAUCAUCUUCACUUGAACAUUACGGUUGUCAAAAUGAAUUAGGAUUUCAAGUUCUAAAAACAGUGUAAAUUGUAUCAAAAUAUCUAAACCGUUUAUUUCGCCAUAAAAAUAAGUGUUCACAUAUCUGCAAGAUCUGUAUCAUUUUUUUAGUUUCAAAAUUCUUUUGGUGUUGGAAAUUUAUUUUAGAGACAUCAUAGAUAUUUAUUUUGUCGAAAGUGCUUUCCGGAGGAGGAUUUGAGGUGAAGCUUUAUUUUAUUUUUAGACACUUUUUGUUAAAAAAAGUAGAAAGCCCUAAAAAGCACGGAAAUGGUGAUUAUGGUUUGUCGUGCUUGACCUUGAAAACAUAAGGCUUGUAUAAAUAGAAAACAUAUCUAUUACAUCCCUAUGUUUUAUCUUGUUUAAGACAAUAAAUUGUGGGAAAGUAUAUAAAGAGACUAUUUACUUUUAAUACUACUUACAAUCAUUUUUGUUUGUCAAAUUUAAAAUCGGAUAAGUAUCAAUAUAAGGUACAAGAAAAAUAAAAAGAAAUUGUUUAUAUAAAACUGUUAUUUUCUCAAACUUUGUGAUACGCCUUUGACCGAUUGAUUUUACACUUGAUGGCUAUGAGUGAUUGCGAUUUUCAUGUGACAAGAAUAAACGGCCAUGCGAUAUGUAAUCCCAAUUCUAAAUUCUAAAGAGAUUUGUUUAUACACAAAUCCGUGACAAUGAAGAUGAUCCCUCCCCUAUAAUAUUAUUAAUUUAGACUAAUAUUAAUCCUUAGCAUAGAGAAAAUAAAAAGAUUAAGGGACAGGCAAAUUACAACCCAUGGAAAGUUGAUCCCAUAGAUUCCUCUCUGCUAUGUUCCAUCUCAUUGAGGACCAUCCAAAGCCUUGGAUAAAAUUAAAUCUAAA
rnacentral:lncRNA from 1 species